rnacentral:rRNA from 1 species
UACGUAGGGUGCACGCGUUAAUCGGAAUUACUGGGCGUAAAGCGUGCGCAUGCGGUUUUGUAAGUCUGUCGUGAAAUCCCCGGGCUCAACCUGGGAAUUGCGAUGGAGACUGCAAGGCUAGAAUCUGGCAGAGGGGGGUAGAAUUCCACGUGUAGCAGUGAAAUGCGUAGAGAUGUGGAGGAACACCGAUGGCGAAGGCAGCCCCCUGGGUCAAGAUUGACGCUCAUGCACGAAAGCGUGGGGAGCAAACAGG